rnacentral:rRNA from 1 species
CCCUUAGAUGUUCGGGGCCGCACGCGCGCUACACUGAAGGACUCAGCGUGUCUCUCCCCCUAUCCCGAAAGGGAUGGGCAACCCGUUGAACCUCCUUCGUGCUAGGGAUUGGGGUUUGCAAUUAUCCCCCAUGAACGAGGAAUUCCCAGUAAGCGCGAGUCAUCAGCUCGCGUUGAUUACGUCCCUGCCCUUUGUACACACCGCCCGUCGCUGCCCGGAACUGAGCCGUUUCGAGAAGACUGAGGAUUGCUGACUUGAGGCCUUCACGGGCUUCUAGUCGGUGAAAAUCAAUUUAAUCGCAGCGGCUUGAACCGGGCAAAAGUCGUAACA